CAGUAGCCACGGUAAUACGUAGGGUGCGAGCGUUAAUCGGAAUUACUGGGCGUAAAGCGAGCGCAGACGGUUACUUAAGCAGGAUGUGAAAUCCCCGGGCUCAACCUGGGAACUGCGUUCUGAACUGGGUGACUAGAGUGUGUCAGAGGGAGGUAGAAUUCCACGUGUAGCAGUGAAAUGCGUAGAGAUGUGGAGGAAUACCGAUGGCGAAGGCAGCCUCCUGGGAUAACACUGACGUUCAUGCUCGAAAGCGUGGGUAGCAAACAGGAUUAGAUACCCCCGUAGUCCCUGUCUCUUAUAC
rnacentral:rRNA from 1 species